rnacentral:rRNA from 1 species
GAUGAACGCUAGCGGCAGGCCUAAUACAUGCAAGUCGGACGGGAUCCAUUGAUAGCUUGCUAUCAAUGGUGAGAGUGGCGCACGGGUGCGUAACGCGUGAGCAACCUGCCUCCAUCAGGGGGAUAGCCUCUCGAAAGAGAGAUUAACACCGCAUAAUAUCAACAGUUCGCAUGUUCAGUUGAUUAAAUAUUUAUAGGAUGGAGAUGGGCUCGCGUGACAUUAGCUAGUUGGUAGGGUAACGGCUUACCAAGGCGACGAUGUCUAGGGGCUCUGAGAGGAGAAUCCCCCACACUGGUACUGAGACACGGACCAGACUCCUACGGGAGGCAGCAGUAAGGAAUAUUGGUCAAUGGGCGGAAGCCUGAACCAGCCAUGCCGCGUGCAGGAUGGCUGCCCUAUGGGUUGUAAACUGCUUUUGUCCAGGAAUAAACCUAAAUACGAGUAUUUAGCUGAAUGUACUGGAAGAAUAAGGAUCGGCUAACUCCGUG